rfam:Oryza glaberrima chromosome 8 Oglab08_unplaced138_8, whole genome shotgun sequence.
AAAAAGGCCGAAUUUUUUGGUUUUCGUGUCUAACGUUUGACCGUUCGUCUUAUAUGAAAUUUUUUUAUGUUUAGUAUUUUCAUUAUCGUUAGAUGAUAAAACAUGAAUAAUACUUUAUGCAUGACUUAUUUUUUUAUUUUUUUAUAAUUUUUUUAAAUAAGACGGACAGUCAAAAGUUAGACACGGAAAUUCGGGAAUUAAG